AUUGAACGCUGGCGGCAGGCCUAACACAUGCAAGUCGAACGAGUGGCGGACGGGUGAGUAAUGUCUGGGAAACUGCCUGAUGGAGGGGGAUAACUACUGUAAACGGUAGCUAAUCCCGCCUACCAUCAGAUGUGCCCAGAUGGGAUUAGCUAGUUGGGGGGUAACGGCUCACCAAGGCGACGUUCCCUAGCUGGUCCGGGAGGAUGACCAGCCACACGGGAACUGAGUCACGGUCCAGACGCCUACGGGAGGCAGCAGUGGGGAAAAUUGCACAAUGGGCGCAAGCCGGAUGCAGCCAUGCCGCGUGUAUGAAGAAGGCCUGCGGGUUGUAAAGUACUUUCAGCGGGGAGGCGUUACCCGCAGAAGAAGCACCGGCUAACGCCGUGCCAGCAGCCGCGGUAAUAC
rnacentral:rRNA from 1 species